UACGUAGGGGGCAAGCGUUAUCCGGAUUUACUGGGUGUAAAGGGAGCGUAGGUGGUGUGGUAAGUCAGAUGUGAAAGCCCGGGGGCUCAACCCCGGGACUGCAUUUGAAACUGCCAUGCUGGAGUGCAGGAGAGGUAAGUGGAAUUCCUAGUGUAGCGGUGAAAUGCGUAGAUGUUAGGAGGAACACCAGUGGCGAAGGCGGCUUACUGGACUGUAACUGACACUGAGGCUCGAAAGCGUGGGGAGCAAACAGGAUUAGAAA
rnacentral:rRNA from 1 species